GAGAAUGCUACUAAUAUGGGGAGAGCCAGAAUAAAUCUAUUCUGGAGCAAGAUCUUUUUCAUGACAUUUAAAGCCUCAAGGGGGUUUCAGGAGACUCCAUCUGUGACAGUAUCUAAGAUUCCUCCCAGCAGACUGCCACCACGCCCAGCUCAGGCUCACAGACACAGAGGAAUCUGGAUGGUGAGACGGUCCUGCCUGGAGGUGCGUGCAAAGCAAGCACGGAAGUACCAAAAAACUGUUCUUUCCUCGGAGUGUUGGGGGAAGCACCCACACCCUUGAAGGGCUCUGGCUAAGCUUCUCCAUCCUCAGAAGUCAGGUCCACACCGCUCCCUCUGACCAUCGCUGCUCUGCCUGUGCCCUUGUUCCCUUGGGUGUUUAUCAGAGCCUGGAAACCUCCUCCUUCCUUCUGCAUCCCCAGAGUGUCCCUCCUGAAGCUGAGAGACGCUCCGGAGAGUUCCUGGGCUUCAGAGUCUGCAGCCUUGGACCCAGCGCUCAGCUCCACCUCGUGUGAGCACGGGUCACCUUGGAGAAGUCUACUGCCCUUUGGUUUCUUGUAUAUUCUUUCAUAUAUAUUUCAUAUAUAUAUAUAUAUAUAUAUA